rnacentral:rRNA from 1 species
GACGAACGCUGGCGGCGUGCUUAACACAUGCAAGUCGAACGGAAAGGCCCUGCUUUUGUGGGGUGCUCGAGUGGCGAACGGGUGAGUAACACGUGAGUAACCUGCCCUUGACUUUGGGAUAACUUCAGGAAACUGGGGCUAAUACCGGAUAGGAGCUCCUGCUGCAUGGUGGGGGUUGGAAAGUUUCGGCGGUUGGGGAUGGACUCGCGGCUUAUCAGCUUGUUGGUGGGGUAGUGGCUUACCAAGGCUUUGACGGGUAGCCGGCCUGAGAGGGUGACCGGCCACAUUGGGACUAAGAUACGGCCCAGACUCCUACGGGAGGCAGCAGUGGGGAAUAUUGCACAGUGGGCGGGAGCCUGAUGCAGCAACGCCGCGUGCGGGAUGACGGCCUUCGGGUUGUAAACCGCUUUCGCCUGUGACGAAGCGUGAGUGACGGUAAUGGGUAAAGAAGCACCGGCUAACUACGUG